rnacentral:lncRNA from 1 species
GCAAGGCUGGUUCAAUAUACGCAAAUCAAUAAAUGUAAUCCAGCAUAUAAACAGAACCAAAGACAAAAACCACAUGAUUAUCUCAAUAGAUGCAGAAAAGGCCUUUGACAAAAUUCAACAACCCUUACCUUCAUGCUAAAAACUCUCAAUAAAUUAGGUAUUAAUGGGACGUAUCUCAAAAUAAUAANNNNNNNNNNNNNNNNNNNNNNNNNNNNNNNNNNNNNNNNNNNNNNNNNNNNNNNNNNNUCAGAGGAUCAAGGUCAGUGGUUCUUAGAACUUUAAAAGAACUUUGGAACCACACCAGAAAUAUAAUCUGUAUCUCUGCCACAAGCACAAUGCCCUACCAAAGCAAAAUACCAAAGCUUAUUUCUGUGUUGUUUACUAAGAGGGCACAAGGAGCUGCUUCUGCUUCCCAUCAGCACAGUCCUUAAACUAGCUGAGGCUGAGGGAGCACAAUUUCCUCCGCAGGGUACUUACUAAAAGAAUGAAGAAGAAUCAAAAGGCAGUUUUUGGUAUUAGUUACAUAGUCAGAAUUUCCAAAGAUAUUUACAUGUGAAUGCCUCAUUUUCAGGCUCCUCUGACAUGUAUUUCCAAUUUUUAAGGGACUACAGAUGAUUUACUGACACGUUCUCUUCCCUUGAAAAAUGUAUCUAUUAGUGAUCUAUUUUGUUAACUGACAUUUUCUCUCAAUUUAAAGUGCAUUUCCUCAAAUGCUGUGAAUAAGAAAUAGUUAAGUCUAAUUAGCUAAGUCUAAUACAUAACAUCUGAUUCAAACUCAGGUGUACUAACAUACAUGAAAGGAUCCCUUAUUUAAAACGGCCCUUCUCUCUUCCUCUUGAUGCAAGUCAAAUAUGAUCCUAGGCAAAAUAACAUCUCCUUCCUCUAAAUUCUUAAUUCUCUACAGCAUGAGCCAUAAACUGCCUUGUGACACUAUUCUAUUAUUAUCUCAAAUGAUAAUUUUAAAUCUGUGACUCAGCCUCUUAUUGUACCUCUACCUCAGAAAUAGUCACAUCAAAGACAUGGGGUUAUGCUGUAUAGCAAAUAACAAAGGUAAGGAUGAGUUGCCCUGGGCAUGGCUGUCGGGUUGAGGGAAGAGAAGAAGGAGCAAGAAGGCAGAACUCAAACAUUAGCACAGAACAAUGCCUGGGUUGCCUGAUAAAUGAAAUCGGGAAGCCAAAGGCACGUGGCAUUAUCUUGUGGAAUUUCAGGUUGGGCAUAUUCUAUCACCUAACAAUUCAACUCCUGAACAUAUAUCCUGAAAAAAUAAUAUGUACAUAAAGAGGGCAGAAAAGCAUGCAUCUACUAGCUAGGACUGUCUAAAAAUACAACAGCAAAAAUAAAUUUCUAAUGCAAAAAAAAAAAAAAACCCAGACUUGUUAUAUUUCAGCUUACUAUUUCAGUUUAUGUUAUUUAGAAUGCAUCCCUGAAUCAUGUUCUAAUGGUCUGUAUCAAUUUUAUGUCAUAGUACUUCUUUAUUACUUCAUAUAAUCACAAUUUACACUUAAACCCUAUAAAUUCUAAAACUGGCAGCGGAUACCAAUUAUGUUUAUGGAAAGUCUCAACUUGGCUGUACUUCUUUUCAUAACUGGAAUUUCUCUAAGACUGGAAGUAAAGUUAGCUGUUGGGAGACUGAAACUUAGCACUUUCAUUUCAUUACCCCCCACCGUCAGGGAUUCACUCACAGGGAAGCAAAAAGGCUUGCCAAGCCCCACAGAAAUUACUCACUUCCACUCUCUCUUUCCUCAUCUCUCUUCCAAAUGUACUUCAAAACCUAAUUUUAAACUCAUGCAGGAAAUCUGAUUAACACCACUUGG